GAUGAAGAACGCAGUGAAAUGCGAUAAGUAAUGUGAAUUGCAGAAUUCAGUGAAUCAUCGAAUCUUUGAACGCACAUUGCGCCCGUCAGUAUUCUGGCGGGCAUGCCUGUUCGAGCGUCAUUACGCCCCUCAAGUCCCCUGUGGACUUGGUGUUGGGGAUCGGCGAGGCUGGUUUUCCAGCACAGCCGUCCCUUAAAUUAAUUGGCGGUCUCGCCGUGGCCCUCCUCUGCGCAGUAGUAAAACACUCGCAACAGGAGCCCGGCGCGGUCCACUGCCGUAAAACCCCCCAACUUUUUAUAGUUGACCUCGAAUCAGGUAGGACUACCCGCUGAACUUAAGCAUAUCAAUAAGCGGAGGA
rnacentral:misc_RNA from 1 species